AGAUACUGAGGAAUAAAGAAGUUACAGAUUGGCUUAGUUUUGUAUUUCAUCAGUGUCAGAUACAUGCCAGGCACCUGAUUCUUCCUGUUGAUGUCCAAUUGACAAAAAUAUCUUAGGGAAGAAGGUGAAGAAACAAGCUUCUUAGAGACUAUGUAACUUGGCCAAAUGUCAAGGAUAUUUGAGAUUCAAGCCCAAAUUCUUCAGACUAUGGAGCCCAUGCUAAUUCCAGGACACCAUGAAAUCACACACGUGUGAAGGCAAUUCUUGAACUACGGGGAUGCAGUUCUCAGUCUUCUUAUUCUGUAACACACAUCACCAAUCAACAUUCGCAUGAGAAACCCAAGCUUAUGCCCAAUUCUUGGAAUACUAUCUUUACCUGGAUCAUAUUCUCUGCCACGGAAGAAAGCAUGUGAAUGGGUGAAAACAAGAAGUGCUUCUCUUCACAGAAGUGGGCUUUAAAAGCCAUUUUCAAAUGAAAGAUUGCUCUUGCCUCCCCUCCUGUGCUCACCACCGCAUUUGCAACAGGUUUACGCUACCAUAGAGGUGAAGAAGUCCAGUCUCCUUUGAUGCAUCGAAAGUCAAAUACAUUGUAACAUGGGAUACAAGUACAUCUGACAAAGAGGCACAUUUUAUUACUAAACUUGGAAAUGAAUUAAUCUAAUUACUGCUGAAUUGCUUGACCAACACAAAAACCUAGGAAGGUAUGCUGUGGCUGCAAUUGUCAUCGUAAGUGAUACAACCACCAGUUGGAGAGUGCUUUGGAACUUUAAAGUGUCACACUGGGUAAAAGGUUUUCUACUAUCUUACUGUGAUUGGUAUAACCCUGGAACAAUAAAGAUUCUGAAUCUCAGGCAUUGGAAACAUCUGGUUCUUUGGUUUACAUCCAUCCCUUCCUCUGAGGUAGGACCUCUUCUCCAAAUACAAGCCAAUAUGUUGUCCUGAGGCAUGGAGGCAUUUACUGUCACAGAAUUCACCACAUAUUGGUUAUGGAGUAAGCACAUGACUGAAGUGAGUCCUAUCAUGUAUGAUACCCUAUGGUCUGCCAGUGGAUAUUUGCCCAGAGAUGAUCAUAAAACCAACAGGAGCCUAUCAGAGUACCCUCCCAGGGGCUUUCUAACUAGAGUCAGAGGGAAAUGUUCCCUUUCACCCCUUUUUGGUAGCAAGGCUGUGACAGUGUAAGUCCCAAGCUGCCCAUGGUCCUGUUCCUUCUGCCAAAUGAAGAAAGUCUCCUAGUAGUAGAAGAGAAUAAAGUUGACAUGAAGGGAGAAGAAGAUACAAAAGAUACAGAUUCCUGAGAGUUUUGAGUUCUUGAAUUCAAUGGCCACAAAGACAGCUGCAACACAAAGCUUCUCUGAGAUUCAGCUAUGUGAGUUGAUAAUCACCUCCUUUCCAAGCCACUUGUGCCUGUUGCUUUUCUUUGAGUUCCUGUCACUUAUAACCCAAAGUUUCUGUGUGAUACACACUCUGUAAGAUUGAUACUAAUGAUAUUGUAAGA